rnacentral:rRNA from 1 species
GACGAACGCUGGCGGCGUGCCUAACCCAUGCAAGUCGAACGGAGAAUUCAGCAAUGGAAUCUUAGUGGCGAACGGGUGAGUAACGCGUAGACAACCUACCUUCUAGAUGGGGACAACACUGCGAAUGUGGUGCUAAUAACGAAUGGUGUGUUUUGAACGCCUGUUUAAGUUACUAAACGUGGCCGCUAUUAAUAAGCUAAUUCUAGAAGAUGGGUCUGUGUCUGAUUAGUUAGUUGGUGAGGUAAUGGCUCACCAAGGCAACGAUCAGUGGCCGGUCUGGGAGGAUGAUCGGCCACACCGGGACUUCGACACGGCCCAGACUCCUACGGGAGGCAGCAGUAAGGAAUAUGGGGCAAUGGAGACAACUCUGACCCAGCCAUGCCGCGUGGAGGAUGAAUGCCAUCUGGGUUGUAAGCUUCUUUUACUUGGGACGAAACCACUUUUUUCUAAGGGUGUUGACGGUACCAAGGGAAUAAGCACCGGCUAACUCCGUGCCAGCCGCCGCGGUAAAAC